rnacentral:rRNA from 1 species
GACGAACGCUGGCGGCGUGCUUAACACAUGCAAGUCGAACGGAAAGGCCCUGCUUUUGUGGGUUGCUCGGGUGGCGAACGGGUGAGUAACACGUGAGUAACCUGCCCUUGACUUUGGGAUAACUUCAGGAAACUGGGUCUAAUACCGGAUAGGAGCUCCUGCUGCAUGGUGGGGGUUGUAAAGUUUCGGCGGUUGGGGAUGGACUCGCGGCUUAUCAGCUUGUUGGUGGGGUAGUGGUUUACCCAGGCUUUGACGGGUAGCCGGCCUGAGAGGGGGAACGGCGACAUGGGGACUGAGAUACGGACCAGACUGCUACGGGAGGCAGUAGGGGGGAAUAUGGCACAAUGGGCGGAAGCCUGAGGAAGAAACGCCGGGUGCGGGAUGAAGGCUUGUGGGGUGUAAAAAGCUAUGGCCUGUGACGAAGCGUGAGUGACGGUAAUGGGUAAAGAAGCACCGGCUAACUACGUG